AAGGAUACUAUUAAAAUUAAGACUUGUUGAAUACUGGGUUCACAGACGUUUGGAUGCACUGGCGUGGAACAGGUUCGGAGGUGGGGCUAGCAGAUGCCUAUCCAGUUUGGUCCGUCAGGGAGGGCUAAUCUCAAUCACUGGACAACCUAUAUUUAAGGAACAUUGCUGCUGGCCUCUGCCAGCACUCUCAGUACUUGUUACCGGUCCUGCGGGACUCACAAAGAUAGCUUUCCCUCUCUAUUAUAUGGCUUCGAUGACGAUGUUACAAUGGAAUAAGUAUUACAUGAGUGAAGGAGAAAAUCCUGGAACAUAAAACGUGAUCAGGGGUAAAUAAAUUGUCAAUUCUACUUCUGGACUUGCAGUUUAUUGACACACAACCAAAUGAUGGGAUCUUACUUUGCAGGUAAUACAUAUAUAAACUGAUCCUUCUCUUGAAUAUAAGUUACUUUAGACAUAAGGACAGUACUACUGUAACACAAGAUACAUUUGAAGUUAAAAAUCAGAAAAUAUAUGAAAAAUCAAUAUUACAAUGUGACGCAGGUCUGUAUGUCUCUUUAAUGAAGUUAAUCUGUCUACUUGGAAUAAAACAAGUGGAAAGACGUAUUCAAAUGGAGUUCGUUUUCCAAUUUACAUAUUACGUACAUAUCCCAUUGUUUUCUAUAGUAAUUUAUUCCAAAUAUAAAUUUAUUGUUGAAAACUUAUUACACUACAUAUUUACAAAAUAUUUUUCUUGUGUGAAGUUAAACAUUCAACGUAAGAAAAUAUUUUAAAUAGAAGUUGUUGAUCUACAUAAGACCCAUAUUUUCCACACUGAGCAUUAAAAAAUUUAUGUCUGAUUUGAGCUCCAUGUAAAGCACACGUUAUUUUGCAGCAUAAACCAAAAUUAAAUUUGGGCAGAAACUUUUAAUGUAGACCCUCAAACCAAUUCUAUCAAAAUCCAUUCAACAGUUUCAGAAAUGAAAUAUGCAGAAGGAUGGGCAGACAAAACUUCCCCAUUAAUAUUAAUUUCAUGCACUGUGUGCAAAGAAUGUAUAAAAAUCUGUAUUGGUAUAUGGUAUGAGAGGAAACUAGGACGUUAUAUGUAACAAAAUUAAGUGUUCUAUAUUUUGGAAGGACUGGAUGGAAUGCAAACUCUCAGAUAGGGCACAUGUAAUGGAAUAUAUCACUUGUAUGACAUCUAUAACUAGAUAUGAAAUUUCACCAACUUGGAAAUUUGUUAAACAUUUCUUGCAUUACAUUUACAAAUUGAGACACACAAAAAAAAAUUGGAGAGAUUUUUCAUUUUGUUUUACCUCUAUAUAAAUAAACAACAUUAGUAAUUAUUAU